UUCAGUGUCCUUCAACUUUGGACGUAACAUUCAAUGUAAUUACUCACUCUAAACAGACGUUUAUCUAGUCAUGUUCGGUUUCAUUGCAAUCCUCUGUUUGUUAGUAAAACAACAAAGGAACUGAUUUGAGCGCACCAAUGAUAUGACCAGUUCUUCGUUGAUUGACUGUAUUUCGGACCAAUGACCACUGAUCGUCUUGAAAUCUAGCUGGGUAGAUAGCCAAUGAGCUGAGGUAAAUGCCAACAUGUAAUGGUUCGACACGGGAAGACUAGCCUUUGUUGGAAACUCAUGCGUACACACAGUUAUUCACCAUUGAAAAUUCCACACGCAUCCACGCUGGUUACGCGCAACAUUUCAGUUUUGAGAGCAUUUUCAGAGAGGAAUUAUGGCAAGUAAAUCUUUAAAAUCGAAGACCAAAAUAUACAGAUCUACAUGCUAUCAUUGACGAAAUUGAUAGAGAUAGUGAGAGUGAACUGCAAAAUGAAUCGGAAAGUGAGAAUUCAUUUGAUUCUGAAUUUGAGGAAAUGUUCCUGUAUGGAGAAGAUGCUGUGUUCGAUCGUCCCAGCGAUUCUGAUUGGGAGCCCAUACUGCCAAGGUGCCCAUCCCUCACUGAAGCUGGUCCAUCCAGCCGGACCCCUGCUGUCUCCGGCACCACACCUACCCCCGCCCGGCCAUCAAGAGGUGUGAAGUCGGUGACAAAGAAGCGGGGGAAGGGAAGCGUGGAACCUGCUGGCAGAGCGGACGAGCGUCGUUUGCGCUCUGUGCUGGAGGAGGAUGUGGCCCCAUCACCUCCAAUAUUCAGACCAAAAAGGCCAGCAGGGCCUCAACUGGACAUGACGUCAAAGUACAGCUCCAUGCAACUGUUUGUUGUUUUUCACCUCGGCAGUUGUUGAUUCCCUGGUGAUGACCACAAAUAAGUACGGAGCUAAGAAGCAGGAAGGCAAGACAGAGACAUGGAAUGCCAUUUCCAUGUCAGAUCUGUUUAGUUACCUUUCUAUGGUCAUCUACAUGGGUCUUGUAAAGCUUAAAACCCUGAAGGACUACUGGAAAACUGCACCCCUCUAUCAACUGCCUUUCCCCUCCACGGUCAUGUCAUGCAAAAGGUUUCUGAACAUUUUCACGGGCGCCUUAUAUCAGUGACCCAGAAGUUGAUAAGAACAACGAGACGAAACGAGGCACGGCAAGGUUUGAUAAGCUCUGCAAGAUUAAACCUCUCUACCAUGAUAUCAUUGAGGCCUGCAAGACUUAUUUUCAGCCCGCCCAGAACCUUUCCAUAGAUGAGAGGAUGGUAGCCUCAAAGGCCAGAAUUGGCCUAAAACAGUUCAUGCGUAACAAACCAACUAAAUGGGGUUACAAACUGUUUGUUUUGGCCGAUUCUGCGUGUGCAUACACGUGCAAUUAUUUUGUCUAUGAGGGGAAGAACAGUUGUGCGAGCGGUAAGGGACUUAGCUAUGACUCCGUUAUGCAGUUAUUAGAUUUCCAGCUGCUAGGGAAGGGCUACAAACUGUAGACAACUUCUACACAAGCCCUACCCUGUUCACGGACCUGAGGAAGCUGGAGAUGUGGGCCUGUGGCACCAUUCGGACCAACAGAGUGAGCUUUCCGAAAACCAGGGUGAACGACAUGCCUAAGCGGGCUGAGCGGGGUACCGUGAGAUGGAUCUGUGAAGAUGGCCUGCUCUUUGUGAAGUGGAUGGAUACCAGAGAGGUGGUGAUGUGUACAACAAUCAACAAGUCCUUCGGUGGGGAUCACGUUGUCAGACGUGUGAAGGGUGCUAAAGGCGCAUGAACCACCAAAAACGUCCCCAUUCCAGCUGCUGUGAAGGACUACAACAAGAGCAUGGGAGGUGUGGACCUGUCAGAUGCUCUGAUAGGCUACUAUAAUGUUCUUCACAAAACCAUGAAAUGGUACAAGACUUUGUUUUACCAUUUCAAUGAUAUUGCUGUGGUGAAUGAAUUCCUUCAUCCUCCAGAAGGAAAUGGCCAAGAGCUGUGGACAGCCCCCCAUCUCACAGCUAGCCUUCAGGGAGCUGCUCAUCCAGGAGCUUGCUAGCUACAGCAAGACCACUGUAGCACCUUCUGUCCCCUCUACCUCUGUCCCUUCUUCUCCAACCAGUGGUGCGCACAUGCUUAAAUUCAUCGCUGCAGGCAGGAAUGUGCCUCAGGGAAAAAAGAGCUCAGUAGGGAGGCUUCGUGGUGCCCUUUGCCAUAAGAAAUCCCCUGUCACCUGCACCACCUGUUCUGUGACCCUCUGCUUCACACCAGAAAGAGACUGCUAUGGGCUAUGGCAUCAGGAGUGCAAUAUUGUGUAGAGGACUGAGGGUCUUCACAUGAUUGGACAUUGAAUGUGUAAAUAGUUUCCCUUGUUUUGUUUAUAUUAAUUUUUUUCUUUCUUGAAUUUUUCAAAUAUAUAUGUUUUGGGGUAUGUUAGAAUAAUUGUUUUGUAUUUUGUAUAUAGUUAUUUGUAUCAAUGUACCAAUUUGGCCACUUGGGUACAUUUGGGAAACUUGUGAGGGACACCUGGGUGACUUCAUGCUCAAUGGCAUGUACCUCACUCAUUCCUGAAGGUAUCUGUCUGAAACUUUGGUCAAAUACUGUUGCCUACUUAUGUUCUUAUUUGAAAUGAUCCCCAGUAUCAUAUCUGAAUGUUUGGCCUUUCUUGUUUAUUUUAAAGAUGCAACAACAGUAAAAGAACAAAAAAACAUCUGUUUAUUUCCUUGUAUUUUCUUCUACCAGAUCUAUUUUAUGUUAUAUUUUCCUACAUUCAAUUCACAUUUCCACAAACUUCAGAGUGUUUCCUUUCAAAUGAUACCAACAAUAUGCAUAUCCUUGCUUCUGAGCCUGAGCUACAAGCAGUUUGAUUAGGUCAUGUUUUCAGGCGGAAAAUGGGGAGGGCUAUUCCUAACAAGUUCAAAUUAAAAAAGAAAAAUAUGUUUAAUGUAGUAAGGAACACUUCUUUGAAGUGGUGGUAUGACUUAUGACUUCUAUCAUAACUUUCCAUUGUGGUCUGAUCAGCCUCAUUGGAAAGCCAUUUGGAUGGAGAAUCUAAGGUCAUUGGUAAUACUGAGUUUAAGGUCAUUUAAUACAACAAGGUGGUGAAAUUAAUAUUAUAGUGUAUUAUAUUUUCUUAGAUGAAUACGGUGAGAAAAUUAGUUACGAUACGUUUUAGAAAAGGUAGACUCAUGUUAAGUAUUUAGAACAUAUUCUAAGCCAACAGGGCAGGAAAAAAGAUGAAGGUAGAAAAAUAGUGAUUUUAUAAGCAUAAAAUUGAAUUAUGAAAAGAAAAAUGUUGCAGUUCUUCGGGAUGGUAAAUUACUGUAGAUAAUGGAUCCCAUACUAUGCAAUAUAUAUUAAAUUAUGGAUGAUAAUGAUUUUAAGGCUAACCCAUGUUAUUGUUAGAUAAAAAACAGUGGACUCCUGAAGGAGAUAUUUCAUUAGUACAGAAAGCAUAUGAUAUGGUUAGCAUUCGUUUUGGCCUCAUUUGAUCAUAGUAUAAAGUGGACGGGGAUAUAUGACGUCUGUGGUGAUUCAGGAUUAUUGAUAGGAUCGAGAUAAGUCCUUACAUAGGUUAAAUAAGGUUUAGAAAUUCCCACCAUAGACAUAUUUUUUGUGUGUGUCUAAUUCCAUGGGUUCAGAUAAAGCCAAACAGUGAGACACUUAGUUAAUGUUUGGAAACAACACAUAGUUAUUACUGACUGUUAUGUGACCAAGCUACAGACAGAUUCGACACAAACCUCAAAUAGGUAUGUAAUGACACAUUAUAUAAACUCUUUAUAGUGUUUUAUUUACAUUUUAGAGGCGAUAAGGUGAUAAGUUGGACAGAUCGAGUGAAAAAAAGCAAUUUUCCCACACAACAUCUCUCCUUCUCACUAUCACGCAUUAGUUUCGCUUCCCCACCCUCCAUUUUUAAAAAGACCCGACGGGACUCAUUGCCUGCUUGAAUUAUGCAGAAACAGGCAGUGUCUAGGUCAUGUAAUUGAUCAUGUUGAAAAGGGGAUAAAUUGUGCUUUACAAUGGUAUUGACAUUACAGUUGAUCUGGAAGUAUUACGUUUUUGGGGCGCUAAAAUAAGGGCAAUUGUACGGACUAAGGCGAUGUACGAGUUCACGUGAGUUUACGUUAAGUCGUUAGCUAGGUAACAUCUAUUAAAGGGGGCAUAACUAACUUGAGAUGAAAAUGUACACAUCUAGUGCAAGGGAGUAAGCUUAUACAUCUAUGUACUAGGUUGCUAUCUUAAGGUUAUUGGUUUUGGACUAACAUUACCAGUCUAGCAUCUAGAUGUGUGCACUUUUAACUCAACACUUUUCUGUGGUGAUAUUCAAUAGUUAGCUAGCUAAUAUGGAUACAGUAAAAGUGUAAAUGUAAUGUAUAACUGUCUAAUUUUUGCAAGGCAAGUAACAUUAAUCUAUCAAAUGAUGUGUCCAUAAUUUAGCUGUACCAUAACCCAUAUACUUCUUUUUUUCAUUGAUUUGCUGAAACCUACACUGAAAAAAAGCCUCAGAGUAAAGGUCAGUCAACCUCUGAAUUUAGUCAGUUUAUCUGUAGCAAAAUUGACUUGCAGAAGUAGUGGCUGUCCAAAGGCAGUUAUGUCUGGCAGAAGUUAUUGGACGAAACAAAAGCGCACAUUAAGAAUACUCCAAUCGUUUGCCAAUUCAUCAUCUUCACUAGAGGAUAUUAAUGAUUCUCAAGUGUUAGAAGACGUUCAUCCGGAAUAGAAUCUCCACAAGGAGCCUAAUCAUGAAGAAGAUGAUGUGUAUCUGCACUGCUUAAGUUCUUUUGAUGAUAUUGGGAAUUUUUCAGUACAGGUGUGACAUCUUAGAUUAAAAUAAGUGCACUUUAUAUGUGUGUCUAGGUCAUUAGGCACCACUAGACUUGCACCUGUCUCGGGAGUGGGCAUGCCUGUUUAUUUUUGUACCAUUGCUAUGGCCUAAUAUUUAAUGUUGCUAUGGUUACACCUGUUGGGAAUUUUCCUGUACAUGUGUGCCCAUUAUACAUCUUAAGAGUAGUCAGCAGAAUAAUUGCACUCUAUAUGUGUGUCUAGAUCAUUAGACAUCAUUAGACAUGCACCUGUCUUGGGAGUGGGCAUGUCUGUUUAUUUUUGUACCAUUGCUAUGGCCUAACGUUUCUAUGCCCUAAUGUGAAACCAAGCUAAAAUUAGUGCAAGGCAAAAAGAUAUUGGUGGCUAAAUGCCAGAGGGAUGAAUCAUUAACAUAAAAGGAGUUACUAUGUGUGUGACGUAAGGAUGAAACCUGUAUAAACCUGUGCCAAGGCUCGGCGUCUGUUACUUUGUAAUAAAGUAUAUUUGAAAUCACAAGCUCCAGUAUUUGAGAAAUAUUAUUGACUAAAUAUUUCCACGACAAUAAAAAUCUUGUUGGUGAUGAUAGUGAUGAGACAAAUGACAGCUUUGAUGAGUGUAAGAAAUACCAUUGUAAAUAACACAAGCAUAUUGCUAUUACAUUGUUAUAACUAACUUCUUUCUAAAAAACAGGGUUUCUCACAAGCAGAAACUGAGACACACACACACCAGAAACAGAUGGCUGACACAGAACAUUCAUAAACACUGAUAAGGCAGGAAAGGCCUUGAGCAAGAGUGCUUGGGUCUGUAUUUCACGAAAUAAUGAGACACACAUAACCAAGGACUGAGGGCUGACGUAAACCUUUCAUAAACACCGAUUAGAUAGGAACAUCUGCGCACACACCUAAAUCUCCUGUUUUAGCUGAACAUUUGGUAACAAAUAACUUUUGAUACAAGACUCAGAAGGAUGACGCACAGCUCAUCCGGACCAAUCUGAGAAGACAACAACCUGAUCAGGACCAACCAGAAAACCAGAUCUACCAGACUCUACCUACUUUCUGUGCUGUAUAAAAUGACUAUGUAUUUCUGUUAUCUGGGCUCUGUCUGCAGGUUCCUUACGAGCUGAAUGAACGAGUCCAAGCAUGCUUGUAUCAGAUAUCUUUACCUCUGAAUAAAACUGCUUUUUAUUAUACGAAUAUC